rnacentral:rRNA from 1 species
UGGGCGUAAAGCGUGCGCAGGCGGUUUUGUAAGUCUGUCGUGAAAUCCCCGGGCUCAACCUGGGAAUUGCGAUGGAGACUGCAAGGCUAGAAUCUGGCAGAGGGGGGUAGAAUUCCACGUGUAGCAGUGAAAUGCGUAGAGAUGUGGAGGAACACCGAUGGCGAAGGCAGCCCCCUGGGUCAAGAUGGACGCUCAUGCACGAAAGCGUGGGGAGCAGACAGGAUUAGAUACCCUGGUAGUCCACGCCCUAAACGAUGUCUACUAGUUGUCGGGUUUUAAUUAACUUGGUAACGCAGCUAACGCGUGAAGUAGACCGCCUGGGGAGUACGGUCGCAAGAUUAAAACUCAAAGGAAUUGACGGGGACCCGCACAAGCGGUGGAUGAUGUGGAUUAAUUCGAUGCAACGCGAAAAACCUUACCUACCCUUGACAUGGAAGGAAUCCCCGAGAGAUUGGGGAGUGCUCGAAAGAGAACCUUUACACAGGUGCUGCAUGGCUGUCGUCAGCUCGUGUCGUGAGAUGUUGGGUUAAGUCCCGCAACGAGCGCAACCCUUGUCAUUAGUUGCUACGAAAGAGCACUCUAAUGAGACUGCCGGUGACAAACCGGAGGAAGGUGGGGAUGACGUCAAGUCCUCAUGGCCCUUAUGGGUAGGGCUUCACACGUCAUACAAUGGUACAUACAGAGGGCCGCCAACCCGCGAGGGGGAGCUAAUCCCAGAAAGUGUAUCGUAGUCCGGAUUGUAGUCUGCAACUCGACUACAUGAAGUUGGAAUCGCUAGUAA